UUUUUAAUAUUUAUCUAUCAGUUUUGUUUAGCGUUUCAUUUUGACAUUGUUGUUGUUGUGCACAUCCAGAUGUUAUUAUUGAGAAGUCGAAGAGAUUUGCAAAGGGUGCCUUGGAGCACUACAACAAAAGGAAAAAGAUCAAGUUUGAGCUGCUGGAUGUGAUGCCUGUGGUCAUGAUGCCUGAGUCAGGCCGUUUGUACACACACGUUAACUUCACUGCAAGGUCCAGUAAGGAGGGUUCGAAGGAACAGCUUUUCUUUGCUGAACUUUACAACUGUGGCAAAAGGCGGGCUCCAGGUGGCUUCCUUGUCACUUGUUGUGAACCAUUGGGUUCUGACUCUACUGUUGGACACAAAGGGUUUCAGGUCGAUGGCGCCUCAGCAUUAAGGAAGAAUGUUGACUUCGCGCGGUGCUUUGCCUGCGGCCUGGUGACACGUCAUCCCAGGGGCGAGAAGUACAUUGCUGGGCACUGCAACGUUCCACACAUUUACACCAGUACAUGCUAAAGGGGGUGUUAGCGGUCCUUGGAAGAAAUGGAUCAGCUGGGCGUUACUCUGUGAAGCAUAUCUGAAUGAAAUACUACAAGUACGGGUUCUAGCAAAGGAACAACAGUUGCUCCAGUUGCUAUUUCGUAUCAGCAGAACAUGCCCUACGUUUGGUGUAGUUUUAUGGAUGCAUCCAUCCCCUAAAGCACAAAGUUUUCUUUGCUGUGUCCACCCAAGUUUUUGCCCCUAAUAGAGAUGGCUGGAACAUCAUGUACCAAAAAAACUGUACCCAGGAAUCCCCCUACAUGAAAAUCAAUAGUUGUGCAUAUUGAGUUGCAUACACCGACCAGUUCAACCCAAAAGCUUAAGCUGAUGGGGAGAGGUGUGCAAUUAACUUAUAUUCCAACACUCCCCCUCAUGUGGAGGCUCCCUUAGGCCUCAAACGUGGAAUAGGAGCGAGCAGCAAUUAUUUUAUUUAAUUGUGCUAACCAGGUUUCGAACACGAAACCUCUGGCACUGAUACCAUAUUGAGUUGCAUGCACCGACCAGUUCAACCCAAAAGCUUAAGCUGAUGUGGAGAUGUGGACAAUUCACUUAUAU